rnacentral:rRNA from 1 species
UACGGGGGGUGCGAGCGUUGUUCGGAUUCACUGGGUAUAAAGGGUGCGCAGGCGGACUGGUAAGUCAGAGGUGAAAUUUGUCGGCUCAACCGACAAACUGCCCCUGAAACUGCCAGUCUUGAGUCCGGGAGAGGUAGGUGGAAUUCCAGGUGUAGCGGUGAAAUGCGUAAAUAUCUGGAGGAACACCGGUGGCGAAGGCGGCCUACUGGCCCGGAACUGACGCUCAGGCACGAAAGCUAGGGGAGCGAACGGG